rnacentral:lncRNA from 1 species
UAGAGCCUUAUGGUUGGCGAAUGCAUCCAUGUGCUGAGAGUGUGGCACAUCCUAACUCCAUGGGAGAAGCUCCUGGGCUCAGGGCCCUUCUGGACCUUGUCCUAUCUACCGCUUCAUUGGUCUGCCCUUUGUGUCGCUGUCCAUUCUACUCCAUGAUUUGAGGUACCACCAAGGUUUGUUUCCGCUUCUCCUACCAUCUCCACAUUGGUUUCAGAACUCUGGCAAUUCCCCUCAUCAUUUUAGUCCAUGCGUUUGCAGGGAAUUUUUCCAAAAUAAGUUACAAUGUUUAUAAAUAGUUAUCUGAAGAGCUGGUAGAAAGGAAUAACAUUGAGGCUAACUUGUCACUGGUUACCAGAUGUGAUUACUCUCAGAUCAGAGUUACAUUGCCAAUUUUAUUAGGUCACUUCAGUGUACAUUUCUGUCUUAUAAAGCCUUCUUCCCUGACUAGCUCACAGCCCACAACCCAAUCACAGUAUUCAGCUUUCCCAGCACCAUUAUACAUGCCCGCGAGUGUACAUAGACACUUUAACCUAUCAUCCUUGCUCAAUGAACAAAGCAUUUGUUGCUAAGCCACAGUCUAAGGCUCAUCUUUCGAGUCUUUAUUUCUAUCCCAAGAUCUGCCUCUCUCCAAGUCUGGCAAACCUGGGUAUUUUCCACUGUCUCCAAAGGAAAUCUGCCCAGUUAAUAAUGGAAUUUUACCCUAUGGUACCAACAGGAUAAUUACUUUAUAAUAUAAUAAUCCAAUACCUGUAAAGCAGAUAAAGAUAUAGCUACAACAUCAGAGCUAUUUGUUUUACACCAGAGCUUACAAAUUGCGGAGACAUACAACUCCUUUUAAUAUUUCUCAAAGUUUAAGUAAUUUAGUAGUAAGUAACAUCUUGUGCAGAGAAACAACAGUUCGGUAAUGUUGAGUUUCUCUAAGCCUAGUCCAGCCACACUUUUAAAAAUAUCUAUUUAUAAUUACAGUUUCUGCCUUAUAUUUUCAAAAAACUAAUUCAUUCAUUUGGCUGGAUUAUUAUCAGGUAUAACUGACCUAAAACAAACUGCAUGUGUUUAAAAUGUAUAUUUUGAUAAUUUCUGACAUAUGUGUACACCCAUAAACCAUCAACAUAAUUAAGAUAAUUAAUAUAGCCAUUAACCCAAAAAGUUUCCUUACGCUGUUCCAGUCUCUCCCUCCCAUUCCUCCCCAUUUUCUGGCCUGCCUCCCCAGGCAACCACUAUUCUGCUUUCUGUCAGUGUAAAUUAGCCUAUACUUUCUAAAAUCUCGUAUAAAUGGAAUCAUACUAUAUGCACUCUAUUUUAUCUGACUUCUUUCACUCAGUGUAAUAAUUUUGAGAUUAAUCCAUGUUGUUCCAUGUUGCAAUAGUUCAUUACUUUUGUAUUGCUGCAUAAUUAUUUCAAAAUUCAAUUGUCUAUUGAUUCGUUGAUGGGCGUAUGGGUUGUUUUUAGUUAUGUCUAUUACAAAUAAAGGACUACGAACAUUUGAGUAAAAGUAUCAUAUAAACAUUAGCUUUUCUUUCUCUAGGAUAAAUAUCUAUGAGCAAAAUGGCGACGUCAUAUGCUUUAUAUAUAUUAAUAUUUAAUUUUUUAAAACUGCCAAACAUUUCUCUAAAGUCGUUGCAUAAUUUUACCUGACCAGCAAUGCAUGAGAGUUCCAGCUGCCCCACAUUCUCACCAACUCUUGGUAUUGUUUUUUAUUUUGUUUUGCUUUGUUUUUAGUUUUAGCCAAACUAAUAUAUGUAUACUGGUAUCUCAUUGGAGUUUUAAUUUUUAUUUUCCUAAUGACUAAUAACGUUGAGCAUUUUUCUAUAUUCUUAAUUGCCAU